CCUACGGGUGGCAGCAGUGAGGAAUAUUGGUCAAUGGGCGCGAGCCUGAACCAGCCAAGUAGCGUGCAGGAUGACUGCCCUACGGGUUGUAAACUUCUUUUAUAAAGGAAUAAAGUGAGGCACGUGUGCCUUUUUGUAUGUACUUUAUGAAUAAGGAUCGGCUAACUCCGUGCCAGCAGCCGCGGUAAUACGGAGGAUCCGAGCGUUAUCCGGAUUUAUUGGGUUUAAAGGGAGCGUAGGUGGGUUGGUAAGUCAGUUGUGAAAGUUUGGGGCUCAACCGUAAAAUUGCAAUUGAUACUGGCAGCCUUGAGUACAGUUGAGGUAGGCGGAAUUCGUGGUGUAGCGGUGAAAUGCUUAGAUAUCACGAAGAACACCGAUUGCGAAGGCAGCUUACUAAGCUGCCACUGACGUUGAGGCACGAAAGUGUGGGGAUCAAACAGGAUUAGAUACCCUUGUAGUC
rnacentral:rRNA from 1 species